CACGUAGGGGGCAAGCGUUGUCCGGAUUCAUUGGGCGUAAAGGGUGCGUAGGCGGCGCGGUAAGUCGGGUGUGAAAUCUCGGAGCUUAACUCCGAAACUGCAUUCGAUACUGCGGUGCUUGAGGACUGGAGAGGAGACUGGAAUUCAUGGUGUAGCAGUGAAAUGCGUAGAGAUCAUGAGGAAGACCAGUGGCGAAGGCGGGUCUCUGGACAGUUCCUGACACUGAGACACGAAGGCCAGGGGAGCAAACGGG
rnacentral:rRNA from 1 species